ensembl:snRNA U2 U2 spliceosomal RNA
AUCACUUCUCAGCCUUUUGGCUAAGAUCAAGUGUAGUAUCUAACUGAAACCUUCGGAGCCUCCUGCAUUUCUAUCAGCAUUCUAGUCCUCUGAGCUCUGAUCAGAAUCUCCCAUCUAGCUCAGUUAGUUUACAGCAUGCUAAGCAACUCUU